AGUGAACGCUGGCGGUAGGCCUAACACAUGCAAGUCGAACGGCAGCACAGUAAGAGCUUGCUCUUACGGGUGGCGAGUGGCGGACGGGUGAGGAAUACAUCGGAAUCUACUUUUUCGUGGGGGAUAACGUAGGGAAACUUACGCUAAUACCGCAUACGACCUACGGGUGAAAGCAGGGGAUCUUCGGACCUUGCGCGAUUGAAUGAGCCGAUGUCGGAUUAGCUAGUUGGCGGGGUAAAGGCCCACCAAGGCGACGAUCCGUAGCUGGUCUGAGAGGAUGAUCAGCCACACUGGAACUGAGACACGGGCCAGACUCCUACGGGAGGGAGCAGGGGGGAAUAUUGGACAAUGGGCGGAAGCCUGAUCCAGGCAUACCGGGGGGGUGAAGAAGGCCUUCGGGUUGUAAAGCCCUUUUGUUGGGAAAGAAAAGCAGCAGGUUAAUACCCCGCUGUUCUGACGGUACCCAAAGAAUAAGCACCGGCUAACUUCGUG
rnacentral:rRNA from 1 species